ACAGUUACAUCCAUCUUCCCAGGGAUGACACAACCUCCUCGUCCCCACGACUUCCAAGCAAAGCAGAUUUCCCAUGCACCGAUGCCACCUAGCUCCGCGUCAGCGCUUCUGGCAGAAGUGGGGAACUCAUGGCUUUGAGACGCUCCCAUUUCACGCAGAGUUUAUCUCCCUCUGACUGACAGCUGCGUGGACCCCGUCCAAGAGCUUCAGGUUUGCUUCCCCACUUCCUGAUGUCCUCUUAUGUCAGACACAAGAUUCAUUCUCCUGCCAAUACCCAGAGGUCUGGAGCACAGAACGCGCCUGUCGUGCUCUGCGUCUCCGCCAGCUUUGAUGGACGUAUGGGAUAUGAAAUGGACACUUUCUUCCUUGGGAGAAAAAAAGGGACUUUAUUUUAACUCGCUUGCCCCUCACUUAAAGUGGCAUCUGUCAGAAGGCAGCAUGAGACACAGAGGUGGAAAGAAGUGAAAGAGAGGCAUGGAAAACUGGAGCAAAAUGAGAGGCAAAGAAGAUGAAUGAAGAUAAACAAGCGCAAAUAAAAAGAGGAGAAAGGGCUGGAAAUCUUGAGCUAUUCCAUGGAUGAACAACAGACACCAAACCCUGCUGAUGAGAAGCAACUUCAAAUUUCAACCAACCCAUGAAGGAAAGGAGUUGUGGAUGAGGUUAAGGAGUGGAGGAGAACACAGAGGGGAGGUGGUCUCCGUGGACCUGUGUGGUGCAGAGCACUCAAUCCAUGUGGGACCAAGUUGGAAUGGGCAGCGACAACAGCACUGUGCUCCCAGAGCAGCCCUUGUAACUGGGACACAAUGAAACAAGAUAAAGGGGAGAGCCAAGGCAAACAGAACUUGCCUACUUUCAACAUUUAUUCCUAUAUAUUUUUUUAGAAAAAGAAAAUACAGACUAAGCACAUAAAUGGACAAGACUUACUUAGCUAAGUCAUUUUUUUCCCCUCCCUUGCACCACUUUGGAAAAUAAAUAGUUUUAAAUAAUUUUUUUCUUCAAUCCAAGGCCCGUACGUACACUGACAGCAAACCUUUAAGAGCUGCAUUUUUCCCCCCUUUUUUUCUUCUUCUUCUUCUUUUUUUUUUCUGCUGCUGUAAUUAUGGUCUCAUUAAGAUUCCAAUAAAAAACAGU
ensembl:lncRNA